rnacentral:rRNA from 1 species
CGGGACACGUGGUAUCCUGUCUGAAUAUGGGGGGACCAUCCUCCAAGGCUAAAUACUCCUGACUGACCGAUAGUGAACCAGUACCGUGAGGGAAAGGCGAAAAGAACCCCGGCGAGGGGAGUGAAAAAGAACCUGAAACCGUGUACGUACAAGCAGUGGGAGCCUCUUUAUGGGGUGACUGCGUACCUUUUGUAUAAUGGGUCAGCGACUUAUAUUCUGUAGCAAGGUUAACCGAAUAGGGGAGCCGAAGGGAAACCGAGUCUUAACUGGGCGUUAAGUUGCAGGGUAUAGACCCGAAACCCGGUGAUCUAGCCAUGGGCAGGUUGAAGGUUGGGUAACACUAACUGGAGGACCGAACCGACUAAUGUUGAAAAAUUAGCGGAUGACUUGUGGCUGGGGGUGAAAGGCCAAUCAAACCGGGAGAUAGCUGGUUCUCCCCGAAAGCUAUUUAGGUAGCGCCUCGUGAAUUCAUCUCCGGGGGUAGAGCACUGUUUCGGCAAGGGGGUCAUCCCGACUUACCAACCCGAUGCAAACUGCGAAUACCGGAGAAUGUUAUC